rnacentral:rRNA from 1 species
AACGGAGGAAGGUGGGAUGACGUCAAAUCAUCAUGCCCCUUAUGUUCUGGGCUACACACGUGCUACAAUGGCCGGUACAGACGGACGCAAAGCCGCGAGGUGGAGCAAAUCCUAAAAAGCCGGUCUCAGUUCGGAUUGCAGGCUGCAAUUCGCCUGCAUGAAGUCGGAAUCGCUAGUAAUCGCAGGUCAGCAUACUGCGGUGAAUACGUUCCCGGGCCUU